UCAGCGUAGUCUGCAUCUAGGCUUUCUGGAGCAUCUUCCAGGGUCGCUCCAGAGACCCCCCAGACUACUGAAUCUGAAUCCUUAGAGUGGUCCAACCUUCCUCUUCAGGUGUCUACUAGAGGCAAGUGAGGCUUCUUAAGGAGUGGAGGAAAGUGGAUGUUUUCAAGUAUCUCUGCAGUUCCCAUUUCCAACCCCCAGCCUCUGGUAACCAGCAUUCUACUCUCUACUUCUG
rnacentral:lncRNA from 1 species